rnacentral:rRNA from 1 species
GACGAACGCUGGCGGCGUGCUUAACACAUGCAAGUCGAACGAGUGGCGGACGGGUGAGUAAUGUCUGGGAAACUGCCCGAUGGAGGGGGAUAACUACUGGAAACGGUAGCUAAUACCGCAUACCAUCGGAGGUGCCCAGAGGGGAUUAGCUAGUAGGUGGGGUAACGGUUCACCGAGGCGCCGAUCCCGAGCUGGUCUGAGAGGAUGACCAGCCGCACUGGAACUGUGACACGGUCCAGACUCCUACGGGCGGCAGCAGUGGGGAAUAUUGCACAAUGGGCGCAAGCCUGAUGCAGCCAUGCCGCGUGUAUGAAGAAGGCCUUCGGGUUGUAAAGUACUUUCAGCGAGGAGGCGUUACUCGCAGAAGAAGCGCCGGCUAACUCCGUGCCAGCAGCCGCGGUAAUUC